rnacentral:rRNA from 1 species
AUUGAACGCUGGCGGCAUGCCUUACACAUGCAAGUCGAACGGCAGCACGGGAGCAAUCCUGGUGGCGAGUGGCGAACGGGUGAGUAAAGCAUCGGAACGUGCCCAGUCGUGGGGGAUAACGUAGCGAAAGCUACGCUAAUACCGCAUACGAUCUGUGGAUGAAAGCGGGGGACCGUAAGGCCUCGCGCGAUUGGAGCGGCCGAUGUCUGAUUAGGUAGUUGGGGAGGUAAAGGCUCACCAAGCCGACGAUCUGUAGCUGGUCUGAGAGGACGACCAGCCACACUGGGACUGAGACACGGCCCAGACUCCUCCGGGAGGCAGCAGUGGGGAAUUUUGGACAAUGGGCGCAAGCCUGAUCCAGCAAUGCCGCGUGCAGGAUGAAGGCCUUCGGGUUGUAAACUGCUUUUGUACGGAGCGAAACGGCUUCCACUAAUACUGGGGGCUAAUGACGGUACCGUAAGAAUAAGCACCGGCUAACUACGUGCCAGCCGCCGCCGUAAAAC